AUUGAACGCUGGCGGCAGGCCUAACACAUGCAAGUCGAGCGGAUGAGUGGAGCUUGCUCCAUGAUUCAGCGGCGGACGGGUGAGUAAUGCCUAGGAAUCUGCCUGGUAGUGGGGGACAACGUUUCGAAAGGAACGCUAAUACCGCAUACGUCCUACGGGAGAAAGCAGGGGACCUUCGGGCCUUGCGCUAUCAGAUGAGCCUAGGUCGGAUUAGCUAGUAGGUGAGGUAAUGGGCUCACCUUAGGCGACGAUCCGUAACUGGUCUGAGAGGAUGAUCAGUCACACUGGAACUGACGACACGGUCCCAGACUCCUACGGGAGGCAGCAGUGGGGAAUAUUGGACAAUGGGCGAAAGCCU
rnacentral:rRNA from 1 species